ensembl:snRNA U2 U2 spliceosomal RNA
AUCACUUCUCAGCCUUUUGGCUAAGAUCAAGUGUAGUAUCUCCAUCUUUGUAUUUUUAUGACAUGCUUCUGUAUCUGGCAUGUCCUCGGUAUUAUGGAAGUAUUCACUGAAUGAAUACUAA